CGGACGGGUGAGUAAUACAUAGGAAUCUGCCUUGUAGUGGGGGACAACUUAGGGAAACUUAAGCUAAUACCGCAUAAUCUCUACGGAGGAAAGGGGGCUUCGGCUCUCGCUAUUGGAUGAGCCUAUGUCUGAUUAGCUAGUUGGUAGGGUAAAGGCCUACCAAGGCAACGAUCAGUAGCUGGUCUGAGAGGAUGAUCAGCCACACUGGGACUGAGACACGGCCCAG
rnacentral:rRNA from 1 species